UCGAGUUAAUUGACUGGGUUGUAGCUGGCCUUCCGAGGCAUGUGCACGCCCGGCUCAUCCACGCUCUUACACCUGUGCACUUACUGUGGGUUUACGGGUCGUUAAACGGGCUCGUUUAUUCGGGCUUGUUGAGCGCACUUGUUGCCUGCGUUUAUCACACACAAACACUACAAAGUAUUAGAAUGAAUUGGGUAAAUUGGGAUAUACAAUAUCAUA
rnacentral:misc_RNA from 1 species